GAAGAUUUCGUGAGGAAGAGCUAAAAGGGACAGGCUUCGGGAAGAAGAGAAGCAGCACACGCAGAAAAAGAAGAAGAAAAGAAAGGUAGCAACUCUACAGUGGCGAAACCUGGCAGAUACCACCUCAACCAAGUGGUUAAGAACAUCAACUCCAUGAGGGCAGAGAUUGUGUAUGCUUCCUUCACUGCCGU